AAGUCGUAACAAGGUAACCGUAGGUGAACCUGCGGUUGGAUCAUUACAAAAUACUUGUCUCUUGCGUCGUCCCACCUGGACCUUGCGUCCGACGGGCGACCGAGAACAAUCCACCUCUGUGAACAUCUUUUUUUUGGGGGCCGAGCCUGGUCGCUCCUAACGGGGUCCCAGGGGAGGCCGACAUCCCACAACUGUCAACACAUUUUUCUAAACUUCUGACACCGCAACGAGAUAUAAAAAGAGAAACAACUUUAGACAACGGAUCUCUUGGCUCUCGCAACGAUGAAGAACGCAGCGAAAUGCGAUACGUAAUGUGAAUUGCUCCUAGCGAAUCAUCAAAUCUUUGAACGCACAUUGCGCCCACUGGCAUUCCGGAGGGCAUGUCUGUUUGAGAACCGUUACGUCCCUCACACCCCCCACAAUUUUCGGAUUGUGGGUGCGGCUCGUGGAUCUGGGCUGUUUUCCUCCCUCGCCAGAACUUGUUUCCAGCGCGGGGGGUGGCCCGAAAUUCAAGAUCGGCUCGCUCGGUUCGCCGGCGGCGCUUCAAUGCGCAACCUUUGCGUAACUUGCAGACCCAAGACGUGAUAGUAUGGGAAACCAUUCCAAUCGUCGAUACCAGUCUUGCCACGCAAAAGGGCCAGCUCGAGCGCGACGACCCAACUCGACGCCAGGCGUCUCUCUCACGAGAGGCGUAGACCUGAACUUCUGGUCUCAAAUCAGACAAGGCAACCCGCUGAACUUAA
rnacentral:rRNA from 1 species